CACGUAGGGGGCAAGCGUUGUCCGGAAUCACUGGGCGUAAAGGGCGCGUAGGCGGCGCGAGCAGUCGAUCGUGAAAGUCCGGAGCUCAACUCCGGAUCGGCGGUCGAUACUCUCGUGCUUGAGCACUGUAGAGGCAGAUGGAAUUCCGGGUGUAGCGGUGGAAUGCGUAGAGAUCCGGAAGAACACCGGUGGCGAAGGCGGUCUGCUGGGCAGUUGCUGACGCUGAUGCGCGACAGCGUGGGGAGCAAACAGG
rnacentral:rRNA from 1 species